GGAUCCAAUGCUCAACGGUUUGAGCGCGCUGUAUUUGCAACGGCGAGUUCGCGGGUUCGACUCCCCCUGGAACCA